GUGCUCCCUUUGGCAGCACUUAUACUAAAACUGGAACAACAAUGAAAAGAUUAGCAUGGCCCCUUCACAGGAAUGGCAUGCAGAUUCGAGAAGCAUUCUGUAUUUUC